GGAUCCAUAGCUUAAUAGGUAAAGCCAUAAUUUGUCGAGUUAUAAGAUGUGGGUUCAAAUCCCAUUGGGUCCG
rnacentral:tRNA from 1 species